AUUAUUUAGAGUUUGAUCCUGGCUCAGGACGAACGCUGGCGGUGCGCCUAAUGCAUGCAAGUCGAACGAGCGAUCCGGGCUUGCCCGGUUAGCUAGUGGCAGACGGCUGAGUAACACGUAAGUAAUUUGCCCCGAAGAGGGGGAUAAUCCAGAGAAAUUUGGUCUAAUACCCCGUACCUUUCCUUCCAGCCUGCUGGAUUGAAAGAAAGGUUUCGGCCGCUUUGGGAGAAGCUUGCGGCUUAUCAGGUAGUUGGUGGGGUAACGGCCUACCAAGCCGAAGACGAGUAACCGGUGUGAGAGCACGAUCGGUCAGAGGGGGACUGAGACACGGCCCCCACUCCUACGGGAGGCAGCAGCAGGGAAUCUUGCGCAAUGGGCGAAAGCCUGACGCAGCGACACCGCGUGGAGGAUGAAGGUCUUAGGAUUGUAAACUCCUUUUAUCAGGGAAGAGGAAGGACGGUACCUGAUGAAUAAGGUUCGGCU
rnacentral:rRNA from 1 species